rnacentral:rRNA from 1 species
AUGCCAAACGUCGAGCUAAGUGGUUACCCCGGCGAUAGGUGCGGGAGAAGGGGAAGGGGAGAGGGGGAGGAUCACACGGCCGCGCGCGCGCUCUCUCAUCUAACGGGCAGGGAGGUGACCGGCCACGGCUGGCGCCGAUCGACAAGGCCAACUCUCAACACCUUCCCUUCCCCUUCCUACAUUCCUCGUCCUCCUCAGUCUCUCCCCUCUCAGCCCCCAAAGGAUCCCUCCUCUUCACACUCCGUCUCACCACAUUCGGAGCUCGGAUUCAACCACUGCUUAUCCCACCCGAUCCCUCCCAAAUCAUCCCCGCACCCGAUUCGCUGCUCCCCUGCAAAGAGAGGUCUGUACCCCUACCUUGAUUCGGCGGCCGGCGCCAUGGCGAGCGGCAGCGAGCAGCCGCAGUCGGAGACCGAGCCCGAGGCGGUGGAGCUCGUGCUGUUCCAGGUCGCCGAGUGCUACGUCUAUCUGAUACCUCCUAGGAAGACGGCCGCCUCUUACAGGGCUGAUGAGUGGAAUGUCAACAAAUGGGCUUGGGAAGGGGCACUUAAGGUUGCCAGCAAGGGAGAAGAAUGUGUCAUCAAACUAGAAGACAAGAGCACUGGUGAGCUGUAUGCUAGGGCAUUUCUGAGAGAAGGCGAACCACAUCCGGUGGAAGCUGUAAUUGAUAGCAGCAGAUAUUUUGUACUUCGCGUUGAAGAGAAUAUAGAUGGGCGUCAGCGUCAUGCUUUUAUAGGUUUAGGCUUCCGUGAAAGAACUGAAGCAUAUGACUUCCAAGCUGCUCUACAUGACCAUAUGAAAUAUCUGAACAAGAAGAAGACCGCUGAAGAGAUGGUGCAGCACUAUGAGAAUACAUCAUCAGUGGAUUAUAGCCUCAAAGAAGGGGAAACUUUAGUUCUUCAACUAAAAAAUAAAGAAAGUGGCAGCAAGACGAAAUCUGCAUUUUUCGAGCAAGGCCUGAACAAGCUGUCGUUCAAUGAAAAAACAAACACCAAGGAGGCCACAGUGUCCCUCAAACUCCCACCACCUCCACCCUCACCCGUGUCUCCAACUGAUUCUGGAGUUGCCAUGUCCCCUUUCAAAGCAGAAUUUCCUUCCCAGGAACAACCAGGCACCGGGGAUGCUGGAGCCGCCGCUGCUCCUUUCAAAGCAGAGUUUCCUUCACAAGAAGAAGCACUGGAUGAUACCGUGGAAGCUAGAGCAGAAGCUGCUCCUCGUAAUCAACCAGCCGCAGCAGAGAAGAGCAAACAAGGAAGCGUGGAUGAUGAGUUUGACUUUGGGGACUUCCAGGCUGCUGCUUGA